AAUAUAUUUACUCAAUUUUUUUAAAUUAGUUUACUGUUCUGACCUCCCAAUCAUCAUCUGCAAGCCAAAGAAGAUUUUUUCUCCUUAUUACUUUCCAGUUAUCUUGUUUGCCCUUCCAAUCAACUGCAAUCCGCUGAUUAGGACUCCUCAUUAUUUGGUUUUGCGGAAAAGAAACUUGAUCCACAAUGAAUCCACAACAAAGAAUAUGAAAACCAUCUUGAUCCUACAUAACAUAAUCUGAUGCGGACACAUGGAUGACUCUGUAUCCCUCUGUCUUCAGUUCCUUCACCCUGGCUCGCAAGACCGUUUGUGACAUAUCUAAAAAUGAAGUAAAACAGGCAACUUUGUCUACAUGUGUGUUUCCAGAGCUCUGGUCCUCUACAUAAAACAAAUAUAUUUGUAUGCUACAUGCCAGCAUUUUGCUUAUACUCCACUCUUGUGAUGUCUAAACUUGUAGCCUAUAACACUCUGCUAAGACUGUAUCCAAAGUAAAUCAAAUGAUGUUUUUUUUUUUGAAAAAUUUACAAACCAUACACAAAAUUACAAUAGAAAAUCAAUGUAGGAUUAACUUAGUUUCCUAUUGAGUUUGGUGAUUCAAACUCGCAAUUUGAAUAAGAAGCCUAUGGCUAAAACUAAUUAAAAAUAAUAAAUGUUAGUGUUAUAUGUAGGAUUUUUUAAGUGCAGGAUGAUGAUCGUUGAGUAGGGCACAUUUGUUAUCUUGAGGAAACACAUUUUUUAUGUUACGUUUUUCAAAAAAAGCAUAGCACAUAUGUCUCACCAUAUUUAGUUAUCUGAUAAUGCAAUCUAUAUACAUUUAUUCAUUACCUUUAAUAUUUAAGCU